UGGAGCAACAGGCAGUUUUAAUGAAUGCCUGAAGGCAGACCUUCAGGCCAUUUCAGGCCGAGGCCUAAAAUGGCAUCAGCCCCAAAUGAGGACGGGCAGGGGUUUUACAGUCUCCCGUAAACAGGAAGUGUUUCAGUCUGUGUAUCUACUGCUACGUGAUACCCGGUAGGCCUCUCUCUGGGUCUUCAGAACAGCUCUCUCCCCGCUUCUGCUAUCUUGCUGACGCACGCUGAUGACGUAAGCCGCCUUGCGCCUUGGGACUGGGCCUGAGAAGGGAGGAGUUAUUCAGGCCUCCGCCAGCUUCUAGGCCCUGGGGAUGGUCUUUCACCUCCCUCUUUCUGAUCUCUUUUUCAUGCUCCUCCUUGCUCCAAAGAAAAGCCGGAUGGCAAAAGAGCCCAGAACCUAUUGGAACUGACAAAAUCAAGUCACGGCGCCUACAAAGAUGAGGGGCAGAUUCUGGCUGCCUUUUAAUUUCGUCCUUCACCUGAUAUCUGUGCCAGAGAAUGUCUUCCAGGAGUUCUGCUACAGAGAAGAGAGUAACCCCCAUCCAUCAUGGCCAAAGCACCCAGUCAGGCUCCGCUCUGGAUCCAGCCCGACAAAUGCAACCCUUGAAUAGGGUUUGUGCAAGCAAACUGGAUGACGACCGAAGAAACCCUGUCGCUUCUGAGAAGACACCCAAUCCAAGAAUAUACAGUCGAAUGUAAUUUGGAAUUUACGAGUCUUAUCACAUUCUCAUUCUGCUUGAGCAAUUCAAGAUAUAAGAAAAACAGACUGUCUACAUUUCUUCAGAGUUCCUCCAACUAUUGGCUUAAAAUUCCUGAAAUUAAAAUUAUAGUUCUUUGACAUCGCUUCUGUCUAAUCAUUGCUGAUACCUGGAAAACACCAAAUGGCUUACUUACACAGUGUCCCACUCUGAAAUUUCUCACAUAAAGGAUUGUCUUACACAGAAAUACUGACCAUUUUGACAAGGGAAUGGCCCUAGAAUUGGGCCAGAGCUAAAAAUAAGCAGAAUAAACAAUUUUGAUAUUCUUCUUCAAUGGUCAUAAAUCUAGUUAGCAUGUUAUCAUUUACAUAUUAUGAUUUUGUUCAUGAUAGUUGUAGUAGAAUGGCCUAAAGAAAUCAAGAUCUGUUUUAUCUUCUACAUUACUUUAGUUACUGUAAGACUGAUAACUCACAUUGUCGUUUACCAAGUAUUUCCAUUUGUUCCUUGGAAUAAUCCUGUGAAGUGGGUAUUUUUUAUCACUAGUUUCAUAUAAUGAAUAUAUUACUGUUAAUGUCAAUACAUUCUAUUUAUCCAGCUCACUUAUUCUAGUAUUCUCUCUGCAGUGAUUCUUUAAUCUCAUUGAGAAGCCCCCAUGCCCAAUACACGCCUCCUAUCUUCAUACACG
rnacentral:lncRNA from 1 species